GAUGAACGCUGGCGGCGUGCUUAACACAUGCAAGUCGAACGGAAAGGCCAGUGCUUGCACUGGUACUCGAGUGGCGAACGGGUGAGUAACACGUGGGUGAUCUGCCCUGCACUUCGGGAUAAGCCUGGGAAACUGGGUCUAAUACCGGAUAGGACAAUGGUUUGGAUGCCGUUGUGGAAAGUUUUUUCGGUGUGGGAUGAGCUCGCGGCCUAUUAGCUUGUUGGUGGGGUAAUGGCCUACCAAGGCGUCGACGGGUAGCCGGCCUGAGAGGGUGUACGGCCACAUUGGGACUGAGAUACGGCCCAGACUCCUACGGGAGGCAGCAGUGGGGAAUAUUGCACAAUGGGCGCAAGCCUGAUGCAGCGACGCCGCGUGGGGGAUGACGGCCUUCGGGUUGUAAACUCCUUUCGCUAGGGACGAAGCGUAUUUGUGACGGUACCUGGAGAAGAAGCACCGGCUAACUACGUG
rnacentral:rRNA from 1 species